rnacentral:rRNA from 1 species
UGGGGAAUAUUGGACAAUGGGCGAAAGCCUGAUCCAGCAAUGCCGCGUGAGUGAUGAAGGCCUUAGGGUUGUAAAGCUCUUUUACCCGGGAAGAUAAUGACUGUACCGGGAGAAUAAGCCCCGGCUAACUCCGUGCCAGCAGCCGCGGUAAUACGGAGGGGGCUAGCGUUGUUCGGAAUUACUGGGCGUAAAGCGCACGUAGGCGGCUUUGUAAGUUAGAGGUGAAAGCCCGGGGCUCAACUCCGGAAUUGCCUUUAAGACUGCAUCGCUAGAAUUGUGGAGAGGUAAGUGGAAUUCCGAGUGUAGAGGUGAAAUUCGUAGAUAUUCGCAAGAACACCAGUGGCGAAGGCGGCUCACUGGCCCGGUACUGACGCUGAGGUGCGAAAGCGUGGGGAGCAAAC